rnacentral:rRNA from 1 species
UACGGGGGGCAAGCGUUGUUCGGAAUUACUGGGCGUAAAGGGCUCGUAGGUGGCCAAUUAAGUCAGGCGUGAAAUCCCAGGCUCAACUUGGGAACUGCGUCUGAUACUGGCUGGCUUGAAUUCGGGAGAGGGAUGCAGAAUUCCAGGUGUAGCGGUGAAAUGCGUAGAUAUCUGGAGGAAUACCGGUGGCGAAGGCGGCAUCCUGGACCGAGAUUGACACUGAUGAGCGAAAGCCAGGGAGCAAACGGG